CCUAGUGGUGAUAGCGGAGAGGAAACACCCGUUCCCCAUCCCGAUCACGGAAGUUAAGCUCUCCAGCGCCGAUGGUAGUUGGGGCCAGUGCCCCUGCAAGAGUAGGUCGCUGCUAGGC
rnacentral:rRNA from 1 species